CGACUCUGAGCAACAAAUAUCUCGGCUCUCGCAUCGAUGAAGAACAUAGCGAAAUGCGAUACUUGGUGUAAAUUGCAGAAUCCCUUGAACCAUCGAGUCUUUGAAUGCAAGUUGCGCCCGAAGCCCUCGUGGCUAGGGCACGUCUGUCUAGGCAUCACGCA
rnacentral:rRNA from 1 species